CUGUGGUGCAAACAUUUGUAUGGACAGUGGCAACGGUGCAUUGCUUUUACCUUCAAAGCCAAAGUAUUCGUAUUGGCUGUAACAACGAAAUUAGGUUUGUUUCUCUAAGAUACCUAAUUUAUCAGAAAAGAAGGGUGAAGAAGAAGAGCAGAAACAAUAGUUUGGAGAGGGUGUUCUUCAGGUAUGGGGGGAAUGUCGAAGAGGUGGCACAGUUGGCUGAUUGAACAUGUUCGAAGUAUCGAGACUUUUGCAACCGUAGUUUUUUACGGAAACGAUGAGACAAACAGUAUAAUCUCUUAUAUCGUAUUGUCAAGGAAUUUGAAAACCUUAUUAAGAAAUCAUAUCAGGAGCGUGAAGUACUUUUUUCGGGGAAACUUGGAAAGGAAAGUUGCUCAAAUGCAAAUGAUGUCACUGAGGUUUUCAACAAAGAUCAUGGUGGUGAUAAUGUUGGUGCCAUGCUUCAAGGAGAAAUAGAAAGGUGCCCAAAUGUUGGUAUGAACCUAGAGUGCAAAACAAAAUUGAGGAGGAGGUUCUUUUACCACGUGGCAUUGAGUUAAAAGAAAUAUUUGGCAUGGAGUUACCACCUAAAGACGUUGUGAAUGGAUUGCAGUUUUUAGAGCUUUGUAGAGUGUUUGGAAAGGCUCUUAGAUCUCAAGAAAAGAGAAGCUGAAGCCAUUUUGAAGCUGCAACUAAGGAAAAGGUAAAGUGUCUUGUCUUGUGCUGGUUCGUUUAUAGUCCUGCAGAGAAGGAUGAGGUUGUGGUGGCCGUUCCACAUUUGUUUUUGGAUACAAGGGACCUUAAUUAUUUGGAUCAUUGUAUAUAAUUUUUUUUGUAUUUUAUUUUAGUGGAAUACGAAAUGAAUAUAUAUAUAUAUAUAUAUAUAUAUUU